rnacentral:rRNA from 1 species
CAGUAGCCGCGGGAACACAGAGGGUGCGAGCGUUAAUCGCAUUUACUGGGCGUAAAGCGUGCGUAGGCGGCUUCUUAAGUCGGAUGUGAAAUCCCUGAGCUUAACUUAGGAAUUGCAUUCGAUACUGGGAAGCUAGAGUAUGGGAGAGGAUGGUAGAAUUCCAGGUGUAGCGGUGAAAUGCGUAGAGAUCUGGAGGAAUACCGAUGGCGAAGGCAGCCAUCUGGCCUAAUACUGACGCUGAGGUACGAAAGCAUGGGGAGCAAACAGGAUUAGAUACCCGGGUAGUCCCUGUCUCUUAUAC